AUUGAACGCUGGCGGCAGGCCUAACACAUGCAAGUCGAGCGGAGCGGCGGACGGGAGAGUAAUGCCUAGGAAUCUGCCGGGGAGUGGGGGAUACCGUCCGGAAACGGGCGCUAAUUCCGCAUACUAUCAGAUGACGCUCGGUCGGAUUAGGUAGUUGGUGGGGUAACGGCCUACCAAGGCGACGAUCAGUAACUGGUCUGAGAGGAUGAUCCGUCAAACUUGAACUGAGACACGGACCAGAUGCCUACGGGAGGCAGCAGUGGGGAAUGUUGGUCAAUGGGCGAAAGUCUGAACCAGCGAUGCCGCGUGUGUUAAGAAGGUCUUCGGAUUGUAAAACACUUUAGGUUGGGAGGCGUUACCUAUAGAAUAAGCCCCGGCUAACUUCGUGCCAGCAGCCGCGGUAAUUC
rnacentral:rRNA from 1 species